rnacentral:rRNA from 1 species
AGUGAACGCUGGCGGUAGGCCUAACACAUGCAAGUCGAACGGCAGCACAGGAGAGCUUGCUCUCUAGGUGGCGAGUGGCGGACGGGUGAGGAAUACAUCGGAAUCUGCCCAGUCGUGGGGGAUAACGUAGGGAAACUUACGCUAAUACCGCAUACGACCUUCGGGUGAAAGAGGGGGAUCGCAAGACCUCUCGCGAUUGGAUGAGCCGAUGUCGGAUUAGCUAGUUAGCGGGGUAAUGGCCCACCAAGGCGACGAUCCGUAGCUGGUCUGAGAGGAUGAUACGCCCAACUGGAACUGAAAACCGGUCAGAACUCCUAGGGGGGGCAGCGGUGGGGAAUAUUGGAAAAGGGGGGCAAGCCUGACCCAGCCAUCCCGGGGGGGUGAAGAAGGCCUUGGGGUUGAAAAGCCCUUUUGUUGGGAAAAAAAUUUUUCAGGCUAAUACCCUGGGAGGAUGACGGUACCCAAAGAAUAAGCACCGGCUAACUUCGU